rnacentral:rRNA from 1 species
CCCAGACUCCUACGGGAGGCAGCAGUGGGGAAUAUUGCACAAUGGGGGAAACCCUGAUGCAGCGACGCCGCGUGAGUGAAGAAGUAUUUCGGUAUGUAAAGCUCUCUCAGCAGGGAAGAAAAUGACGGUACCUGAUUAAGAAGCCCCGGCUAACUACGUGCCAGCAGCCGCGGUAAUACGUAGGGGGCAAGCGUUAUCCGGAUUUACUGGGUGUAAAGGGAGCGUAGACGGUGAUGCAAGUCAGAAGUGAAAGCCCGGGGCUCAACUCCGGGACUGCUUUUGAAACUGUGUGACUGGAGUGCAGGAGAGGUAAGCGGAAUUCCUGGUGUAGCGGUGAAAUGCGUAGAUAUCAGGAGGAACACCAGUGGCGAAGGCGGUUUGCUGGGCCAUUACUGACGCUCAUGCACGAAAGCGUGGGGAGCAAAUAGGAUUAGAUACCCGAGUA